CUGGGAAAGGAGCGUCCUGGACAGUUUCCUUCAUUAACUGGUGGGGUUGGAGCAAAGCAGAUCUUGGGAAUGCAAAACAAUGUGCUCCAGUGGAGUUCUGGGGACAAGAGUAGUUAGGAGCCAAGAAGCCAGCUGCCUCUACAAAGAUUCAAAUUUCAGAGAUCUUCAAUGAUACCUCGUGGUAGUGGUGAUGAUGCUGUAGCUCUGCAACUCCCUCUAGGACCUAUGGAAGGUGGAGAUUUGUGCCUAUGCUGGUGGACAGAGCAGUUCCCAGGGCUGCUGAGUGCUGAGCAGGGGCUCUGUUGAACACUGAUCUGAAACAGCCAGAUCAAGAGAUGAUGCUUUUCAGCAAGAACCAGCCAUUCCUCCAGGAAUGUUUGGAGGAAUGUUUGCCAUGUUAUUAAAACCAUUUUCCACUCCUUUUUUCAUCCACUGCUUAGGAGACAACUGCCAAUUUAGGCUGAGAUUUUUCCCUUCAGAUGUACAGAUGAAGAGCUCACACCAUGCCUCAAAUGUGGGCAUGCACCAGAGGUCUUGGAGGGCACGUCCUGUGUGAGUUGUAGCUCACGUUCCACUUUUGUAAGGUUCCACAUAUCAGCAUCGGUCUGAAGACUGUGGUAGUGUUACAUUUGUUUGGUUGCAUACCGUUUGGGAUGGAAGUUCACCAUGCUUAUAGUGAGAUAUACAUACUCUAUAAAAAAUCAACUGGUGUACCUAAGGAGGGAUUUAUCAGUAAUAAAGAGCUCUGGAUAAUGAAGUCAAAACAAACACCAUCUUUCUAAUAGAUUUUUUGUUUGCCCAACAUGACAGAAAAUCUUUUAUACCCACCCCACCAUGUUUUUUGAACAUGAAAUUUUGCCUAAGUGGAAUAGGCAGGUAUGGCCAUACCCCCUUGCUGUCACCUCUCUGAGCAGUUUGGCUGCUGGAGAAGGCCGUUUUCUUCUUAUUCUGUGACUGUCCCUGUGGUAGCAUCGAGCAGAACUUGUCCCAGCUGGCAGAGCAUCCUGGGGACAGAGCUGGCUGGUGUCAGGGAGUGGGGAUGUAGGGUAAGAAGAUGCCUGGUGGCCAUGGUCCUUCUGGCUGCCCACUGACUGUCUGGUGGCAGAAAGAACAAAAUACCCGCAUGCAUGACAAAUGCUACUGUUGUAGAGACUGGUUGUGAAAAAUCACUGUUAGGUGGGGCUGCCGUGUGUGUCUGAUUCACAGUCUUUAGUUUAUGAAAAUUAUAAUUAUUUUGAUUUUUGUCCACAGACAGCUUGAAAUGUUACAAAACUCUGCAGGUGCUCUCUGUUAUAACAAAACCCCAGAACAGAUGGUGCAAGGUACCAGGCCAGCUCAAGGGAUUAAACACAAGGCUUUUGAAAUUUAAAAUUAA